rnacentral:rRNA from 1 species
GACGAACGCUGGCGGCGUGCUUAACACAUGCAAGUCGAACGGAAAGGCCCUGCUUUUGUGGGGUGCUCGAGUGGCGAACGGGUGAGUAACACGUGAGUAACCUGCCCUUGACUUUGGGAUAACUUCAGGAAACUGGGGCUAAUACCGGAUAGGAGCUCCUGCUGCAUGGUGGGGGUUGGAAAGUUUCGGCGGUUGGGGAUGGACUCGCGGCUUAUCGGCUUGUUGGUGGGGUAGUGGCUUACCAAGGCUUUGACGGGUAGGCGGCCUGAGAGGGUGGCCGGCGACAUUGGGACUGAGGUACGGACCAGACUGGUACGGGGGGCAGCAGUGGGGAAUAUUGCACAAUGGGCGGAAGCCUGAUGCGGCAACGCCGCGGGCGGGAUGACGGCCUUCGGGUUGUAAACCGCUUUCGCCUGUGACGAAGCGUGAGUGACGGUAAUGGGUAAAGAAGCACCGGCUAACUACGUG